GACAGAGGUGCCGAGCGUUAGGCGGAAUCACUGGGCUUAAAGCGUGUGUAGGCGGGUCGUUAAGUACCUUGUGAAAUCCCACGGCUUAACCGUGGAACUGCUGGGUAUACUGGCGAUCUUGAGCCACUUAGGGGUCAGCGGAACAAAUGGUGGAGCGGUGAAAUGCGUAGAUAUCAGGAGGAACACCAGCGGCGAAGGCGGCGCUCUGGGCCGGUACUGACACUGAGGAGCGAAAGCGUGGGGAGCAAACAGG
rnacentral:rRNA from 1 species